rnacentral:rRNA from 1 species
AGAGUUUGGAGUCCUGGCUCAGGAUGAACGCUGGCGGCGCGCCUAACACAUGCAAGUCGACGGUUAAGCACCUUCGGUGGGAAGUAAAGUAGGCGAACGGCUGAGUAACACGUGGGCGAACCUGCCCCUCGCACCGGGACAGCCUCGGGAAACCGUGGAUGAUACCGGAUACUCCGCUCCCCGCAUGGGGAGGCGGGAAAGCCCAGACGGCGAGGGAUGGGCCCGCGGCCUGUUAGCUAGUUGGCGGGGCAGCGGCCCACCAAGGCGAUGAUGGGUAGCCGGGUUGAGAGACCGACCGGCCAGAUUGGGACUGAGACACGGCCCAGACUCCUACGGGAGGCAGCAGUGGGGAAUCUUGCACAAUGGGCGGAAGCCUGAUGCAGCGACGCCGCGUGCGGGACGAAGGCCUUCGGGCUGUAAACCGCUUUCAGCAGGGACGAGGCGCAAGUGACGGUACCUGCAGAAGAAGCCCCGGCUAACUACGUG